GCAAGUCGAGCGGAACCAUUGGAGCUUUGCUCCUUUGGUUUAGCGGCGGACGGGUGAGUAACACGUGGGCAACCUGCCCUGCAGAUCGGGAUAACUCCGGGAAACCGGUGCUAAUACCGAAUAGUUUGCGGCCUCUCAUGAGGCUGUACGGAAAGACGGUUUCGGCUGUCACUGCAGGAUGGGCCCGCGGCGCAUUAGCUAGUUGGUGGGGUAAUGGCCUACCAAGGCGACGAUGCGUAGCCGACCUGAGAGGGUGAUCGGCCACACUGGGACUGAGACACGGCCCAGGCUCCUACGGGAGGCAGCAGUAGGGAAUCUUCCGCAAUGGACGAAAGUCUGACGGAGCAACGCCGCGUGAGUGAAGAAGGUUUUCGGAUCGUAAAACUCUGUUGUGAGGGAAGAACAAGUACCAACUAACUAUUGGUACGUUGUCGGUACCUCACCAGA
rnacentral:rRNA from 1 species